rnacentral:tRNA from 1 species
AGUUAGAAAGUUUAAAAGUAUAAAUAUUAAUUUUGUAAAUUAAAGAUGAAUAAUAUUCUCUAACUU